rnacentral:rRNA from 1 species
AUUUUUUUUAAUCUAUUAUUGAAUUAUUUAUAUAAAGAAUUAAUUUUUAAUUUAUUAUUAUUAAAGAAUUUUUAGUUUAAAAAUAUAACUGCAAAGGAAAAAUAAAAAUAAAAAUUAGAAAAGAUUGAAUCUUGUACCUUUUGCAUUAUGGUUUAUCGAGAAUAAAUAAUGAAUUUUAUUUUCUAGAAAAAAAAGGAGCUAUAAAUUAACAUAAUGUAAUGUGGCAAAAUUAUUAAUAGAUUAGUUUAUAGAAAUGAAAUGUUUACCGACUUUUUAAAUAGCUAGUUGAAAGAGAAAUGUAUUUUAGUACAUUUUAAAGUAUAAUGAUAUUAAAAUAUAAUAUAUUUAUUACUUUAAUUAAAAUUUUAUAAGGUUUAGCUUGUAAAAUUAAAAGAAUUUGAUAAAGUAUUCGUAAAAAUGUAAGAUUAGAAGUGUUUAUCAUUUUAAUAGUUUAUUAACAAUAUUUUAAUAAAAUACUAAAUUAAUUCUUUUAUUUAUUUUUUUUUAUUUUAAAAUUAUUUUUAAAGUUAAUUUAUGAUAAAAUGAGUAUUUAAAUUUAAUGAUUUGUUUAAUAUAACUAGGGUUAAAACUAAAAUUAUUAAUAUAUUUAUAAAUGUAAAAAAGGAAUUCGGCAAAAAUUUAUCUCGCCUGUUUAUCAAAAACAUCGCUCUUUGAUAAAAUUAAAAUAAAGAGUCGUACCUGCCCAAUGAUAAUGAUUGAAUGGCCGCAGUAUCCUAACUGUGCUAAGGUAGCAUAAUCCAUAGUUUUUUAAUUGAAAACCUGUAUGAAUGGUUUGACGUAGAUAAAGCUGUCUUUUUUAUAUUAUCUAAAAUUUGUUUUUUAAGUGAAGAAACUUAAAUGAUUUCAAAAGACGAAAAGACCCUGUCGAGCUUUAAAUUAAAUUUAAACUUUUUUUGUAGAAAAAUUAUUAUUUAAAUAAAAUUUUUAGUUGGGACAACAAAGGAACCAAUAAAGCUUCUUUUUAUUUAAUAAAAUUGAUGAAUUAAUUUGAUCUAUAAAUUUUAAUUAAAAGAAAUAGUUACCGCAGGGAUAACAGCAUAAUUUUUCUGGAGAGUUCAUAUUGAAGGAAAAGAUUGUGACCUCGAUGUUGGAUUGGAAAAGCUUCUAAGUGCAGCAAUUUAGAGAAGUAAGUCUGUUCGACUUUAAAAUUUCCACAUGAUCUGAGUUCAGACCGAUGUAAAUCAGGUUGGUUUCUAUCUUUGAUAUUAAUUAAUUGUAUUUUCAGUACGAAAGGACCAUAUACAAUAAAUAUUUU